rnacentral:rRNA from 1 species
GCUUGUCUCAAAGAUUAAGCCAUGCAUGUCUAAGUGUAAAUAAGUCUAUACUGUGAAACUGCGAAUGGCUCAUUAAAUCAGUUAUCGUUUAUUUGAUGAUCUCUUACUACUUGGAUAACCGUAGUAAUUCUAGAGCUAAUACAUGCACAAAAUCCCGACUUACGAAGGGAUGUAUUUAUUAGAUACAAACCAACAUCGUGGUGAUUCAUAAUAACUUUCGGAUCGAUCUUCGGAUCGAUGCAUCAUUCAAGUUUCUGCCCUAUCAGCUUUGGAUGGUAGGGUAUUGGCCUACCAUGGCUUUAACGGGUAACGGAGAAUUAGGGUUCGAUUCCGGAGAGGGAGCCUGAGAAAUGGCUACCACAUCCAAGGAAGGCAGCAGG